rnacentral:tRNA from 1 species
CGCGGGGUAGAGCAGUGGUAGCUCGUCAGGCUCAUAAUCUGAAGGUCGAUGGUUCGAUCCCAUCCCCCGCCACCA